GCACCACUAGCUCAAUUGGCAGAGCAGCUGACUCUUAAUCAGCGGGUUCUAGGUUCGAUUCCUAGGUGGUGCA
rnacentral:tRNA from 1 species